GGAUCGUGGCUCAGUGGUAGAGAGCUUGCCUUGCAUGUGUGAAGCCCUGGGUUCCAUCCUCAGCACCA
rnacentral:tRNA from 1 species